rnacentral:rRNA from 1 species
GUCCACGCUGUAACGAUGAAUGCUAGGUGUAGGGUAUCGACUCCCUCUGUGCCGCAGCUAACGCAUUAAGCAUUCCGCCUGGGAGUACGGCCGCAAGGUUAAACUCAAAGGAAUUGACGGGGCCCGCACAAGCGGUGGAGUAUGUGGUUUAAUUCGAUGAUACGCGAGGAACCUUACCUGGUCUUGACAUGCAAGGAACCUGAUGGAAACUUCGGGGUGCCCAGCAAUGGGAACCUUGACACAGGUGGUGCAUGGCCGUCGU